AUCUACGCAUAACGAACGUCACUACAGAUGAUCAAAUGAAUGAUCCUGAACACCUACCUGCGUCAGACAUAACCCCACCGUGUCCUCGAUCGGAGAAGGAACUCACGAAAGAGACAGUCACGGUUACGCACACAGUUGGCACAUUUUAAUUAUCUAUAACCAGUGUUAAACAAAGCUUCCACGUUGCCACAUAACCGCGGGCACGGU
rnacentral:lncRNA from 1 species